rfam:Triticum aestivum genome assembly, contig: Triticum_aestivum_CS42_TGACv1_scaffold_640871_T_6AL-0.100185_3B-0.064679
CUAUUACUCCCUCCGUUCCGAAUUACUUGUCUUAGAUUUGUCUAGAUACGGAGGUGUCUAACACUAAAAAGAGUCUAAAUAUAUCCGUAUCUAGACAAAUUCAGGACAAGUAAUUCAAAACGGGGGAGUAGAUA